AAACUUUCAACAACGGAUCUCUUGGUUCCGGCAUCGAUGAAAAACGCAGCGAAAUGCGAUAAGUAAUGUGAAUUGCAGAAUUCAGUGAAUCAUCGAAUCUUUGAACGCACAUUGCGCCCCCUGGUAUUCCGGGGGGCAUGCCUGUCCGAGCGUCAUU
rnacentral:rRNA from 1 species